rnacentral:rRNA from 1 species
CAGGCUUAACACAUGCAAGUCCACUGGCAGCAUCAUCAAAGCUUGCUUUGAUGGAUGGCGACCGGCGCACGGGUGAGUAACACGUAUCCAACCUGCCGACAACACUGGGAUAGCCUUUCGAAAGAAAGAUUAAUACCGGAUGGUAUAGUUUUCCCGCAUGGGAUAAUUAUUAAAGAAUUUCGGUUGUCGAUGGGGAUGCGUUCCAUUAGGCAGUUGGCGGGGUAACGGCCCACCAAACCUACGAUGGAUAGGGGUUCUGAGAGGAAGGUCCCCCACAUUGGAACUGAGACACGGUCCAAACUCCUACGGGAGGCAGCAGUGAGGAAUAUUGGUCAAUGGACGAGAGUCUGAACCAGCCAAGUAGCGUGAAGGAUGACUGCCCUAUGGGUUGUAAACUUCUUUUAUACGGGAAUAAAGUUAGCCACGUGUGGUUUUUUUGUAUGUACCGUAUGAAUAAGGAUCGGCUAACUCCGUGCCAGCAGCCGCGGUAAUACGGAGGAUCCGAGCGUUAUCCGGAUUUAUUGGGUUUAAAGGGAGCGUAGGCGGGUUGUUAAGUCAGUUGUGAAAGUUUGCGGCUCAACCGUAAAAUUGCAGUUGAUACUGGCGACCUUGAGUGCAACAGAGGUAGGCGGAAUUCGUGGUGUAGCGGUGAAAUGCUUAGAUAUCACGAAGAACUCCGAUUGCGAAGGCAGCUUACUGGAUUGUAACUGACGCUGAUGCUCGAAAGUGUGGGUAUCAAACAGGAUUAGAUACCCUGGUAGUCCACACAGUAAACGAUGAAUACUCGCUGUUGGCGAUAUACAGUCAGCGGCCAAGCGAAAGCAUUAAGUAUUCCACCUGGGGAGUACGCCGGCAACGGUGAAACUCAAAGGAAUUGACGGGGGCCCGCACAAGCGGAGGAACAUGUGGUUUAAUUCGAUGAUACGCGAGGAACCUUACCCGGGCUUAAAUUGCAACUGACGGAACCGGAAACGGUUCUUUCUUCGGACAGUUGUGAAGGUGCUGCAUGGUUGUCGUCAGCUCGUGCCGUGAGGUGUCGGCUUAAGUGCCAUAACGAGCGCAACCCUUACGGGUAGUUACCAUCAGGUUAUGCUGGGGACUCUACCCGGACUGCCGUCGUAAGAUGUGAGGAAGGUGGGGAUGACGUCAAAUCAGCACGGCCCUUACGUCCGGGGCUACACACGUGUUACAAUGGGGGGUACAGAAGGCAGCUACACGGCGACGUGGUGCUAAUCCCAAAAGCCUCUCUCAGUUCGGAUUGGAGUCUGCAACCCGACUCCAUGAAGCUGGAUUCGCUAGUAAUCGCGCAUCAGCCACGGCGCGGUGAAUACGUUCCCGGGCCUUGUACACACCGCCCGUCAAGCCAUGAAAGCCGGGGGUACCAAAAGUACGUAACCGCGAGGAGCGUCCUAGGGUAAAACU